UGUAAGCGUAUACCAAAGUUGUUGCAGUUAAAACGCUCGUAGUUGGAUUUGUGGCGUACGGUGUGUUCCGGGCACUUGUUGUCUGAGUAACCUGCUGUUGCCAUCCUUGGGUGGAACCUGUGUGGCAUUAGGUUGUCGUGCAGGGGAUGCCCAUCAUUUACUGUGAAAAAAUUAGAGUGUUCAAAGCAGGCUUAUGCCGUUGAAUAUAUUAGCAUGGAAUAAUGAGAUAGGACUUUUUUGCUAUUUUGUUGGUUUGCGCAAAGAGGUAAUGAUUAAUAGGGACAGUUGGGGGUAUUCGUAUUCCAUUGUCAGAGGUGAAAUUCUUGGAUUUUUGGAAGACGAACUACUGCGAAAGCAUUUACCAAGGAUGUUUUCAUUAA
rnacentral:rRNA from 1 species